rnacentral:rRNA from 1 species
CCCUUAGAUGUCCUGGGCCGCACGCGCGCUACACUGACAUGUUCAACAAGCCUCCUAGUUCGACAGGAUUUGGGAAAUCUUUGAACGCAUGUCGUGAUAGGGAUAGAUCAUUGCAAUUAUUGAUCUUGAACGAGGAAUUCCUAGUAAACGCGAGUCAUCAGCUCGCAUUGAUUACGUCCCUGCCCUUUGUACACACCGCCCGUCGCACCUACCGAUUGAAUGUUUCGGUGAAGAUUCCGGAUAGGACUUUUUUGAUUUAUUUCAACUCUGUCUUAAAAGCUAUCUAAACCUCAACAUUUAGAGGAAGGUGAAGUCGUAACA